rnacentral:tRNA from 1 species
UGUGAUUCUGCUGAGUGGUAAAGCAUUUGCCCAGCAUAGGAAAAGCCCUUGGUUCAAUCCUCAGAAUCACAA